UGUCAGAUCUCCUCCUUCAGUGAUGCUCCUCCUCCAGUGAAGCUCCUCCUUCAGUGAAGCUCCUCCCACUGCAGUUCACCAAUAAACGGAAUAUUCCCCUCAGCUACAAGUGAAGACGAGCAUCAAACCAUCAGGAAGAGCUAACACAAACACAGAGUUUAUUGAAGGACACUGAGAACAUGAGAUCCAGAACACUGCAGAAUGAAACAUACUGAAGAACAAAGAGGUUCUGAGUGCCUGACAACUGUGAGCUGAUAACGGGCUGCGCC